AAAUUGAACGAAGCGUCUGAUAAAAAUAACGGAGUAUAAAUAAGAAACAUCAUGUUUAUUAAAAUCAAUUAAUCGUUAAUUGCGUUUAUAAACCCGUUUAUAUAAAUAAACAUCUUGUUUAUUAAUUUAAAUAAACCAUUAAUUAAUUAUCAAAUUCCUAGCUAAAAAAUAUAAACAUUUCUUUGAAAUUUGGCAGUAAAAACGGAGCUUAACAAUACUUUAAAUGUAAGAACCUUUUUUGACGAACUGAACGAACAAAUGAAGUGCCGCCAAAUUUUAACGAGCAACAACGAAUACAAAUCAUUUAGAAAAAGAAGCCACACGAAAAAGUGGUCUAAAGUGCAUAUAAAAAAAGUGAAGUGAUUAUUAAAAAAGUAUAUGUGCAUCAGCUAACUAAUCAGUAAUAUAUUUAUUUAUAUCCAUAAAAUGUCACACGUUUGUACGUCCGUACGUCCGUACGUUCGUGACGUUUUUCGUAGCUCAAGAAACAGAAGAGAGACUUCAAAUAAAUUUUAGAAAUGCAGAUAAUACAGCAGCAAGAUGCAGAAAGGGUUCUCAAGAAAAUUGGGUGAGUGGUGAACAUUUUCGUUACUCCUACAUAUCUCACGAACUAAUAACGCUAGAGACUUGAAAUAAAUUUUGUAUUAUACAUUUUAACAUAAUACCAAGCAAAUACAUAUAUUUUUAGAAAAAAAAUCCAAUCAACAAUCAUUUUUUUUAUUAAUCGAUGAUAUGAAAAAUGUUUUCUAUUUCUCAGAUUCUCAAGAUGCAGCCUUACUCUGGGCCCUACAUGGGUAUUUUGUGCCUUUCCAAAAAGUUGUGAGAAAACACAAAUAGGGAAAGAAACGUUCACGAGGUUUACUAUCUUGAUAAAUUGCAAUUAAAUUACUUAUUGAUAAAUGAACUAAACUACAAAAAAUAAAAAUUAUAAAAUUAAA